UAUUGUGUCCCGACUCUUUAUCACCUUUUCGCAUUAUCGAACCGUUUCGACGUCGUCGUAUUGUUAUUACUGUAUAUAUCGUUUUUUCCGAAAUUUUUAACGCUUUUCGGCUUUUAAAACCCUUUUACGUGGAUUUAACGGCCGUGUUAUUCGCGUCCGCCGUGUCCUUUUACUGCCGGUAGUACGCCCGUUUUUUACGUAUUUGUUUUUUUUCGAGUCGCUAUCGCGUCAACAGAGACGGCCGCCAACCGACGUUCUCGGCGAUUUCGUUUUCAUCGCCCCGUUUCGUGAUUUAUUACCCAUUAUACUACUGGAUUUGAUGAUGAAAUGAAAAACUUAUCUAUUAAUCUUAACCAAAAUUAUGUUAAACCACUGUUAAAACAACAACACACAAAUGGUCCUACUGUGGAAAUUAUUACAGAACUUCAAUAUAAUGAUUUAAGCUUUAAUAACAAUGAUAUUAAAAUAAAAUAUGAAAAAGAUAGUUAUAUUCUAACUAAAUACCAACAAAUUGUGAAAUGUUUAAAUAUUAUAACACAAAAAAAUAGUGAGACUGUUAUUAUUGCUGAUGGCUUUCUAGGAUGUUGUAAAUUUUUUUAAAUAUUAUGACAGUGUUGAGGCAGUACCACAUAUAUGGUUUAAAAAUAACAAAUACGCUUGGCCUAAACAUUCAAAAUUUUUAUUUAGCCAGAAAAUUUGAAGACAAAAGUUAUGUGUUUUAAUAAGUUUUUCAGAAUUUAGAUCAAAGUCAAUUAUAGCAAUAUAUAAGUCUGAUUUAUCUACCACAGAAGAUGAUAAAGUCAAACAUAAACGUUUAAGAAGACAACAAUAUUCAAGUGUAUCUCCAAACUUGAAAAAAAUAAUAUCUAAUUCAUCACAUAGCAUAACAAAUACCUUUCCACCAAGAUACAAAGUGGUAAAAGAACCUAUUCUAAGAAAAUUGCAUCAUAAAGCUAAGGAUUAUUUAGUUAGUUGUGAAGAUGGUUCUGACAAAGAUACGCAUUGGAAACCUAAAACUAACUCCAUGUUUGAUAAAAUCUCAUGAUAACGAUGAUAGCGGCGAUGAUUCGGCUAAAAUAAAGUGGGUACUUGUCUCCAAGGGAAAAAAAUUGGUCCCAGUAGUAGCUCAAAAUUUAUUCUCCUGCAAGUAACAAUUGUAAAAUUUUAGCUGAUACAAAUAAAAUAAACUCAAGUAAUUAUGAAAUUAAAUUCAUCAAUUCUCCAAUUAGAAAAUAGAUUAUAGAAAAGAAUGACGAUACAACUAUGAUUUAUGAAAAAAGUAUUGAUGAUAAUAAUAUAUGUAUAAGAGAGUACUAUUUGCAAAUUAUAAAUACAAGAAAAAUGAAAAAUGAGGCAUAAAUUUAAAAUUAAAUUUAUUACUUUUUCACUAUUUAAACAUUUGAAUUGUUAGAUUCUACAAGCAACUUGAUGAAACCAAAAUUUGGUCCAGGAAACAAUGUCAUUAAUGAUAAUAAUGUACGUCAUAUAAAAGAAACAGAUAAUGAUUUUCAAAAAUUUAUCACGAACAAUUUGAAAUAUGAAGUUGGUUCAAUGAGUACCUUGGUCCGAUCAAAUUAUUCAAACAUUGAAAUUUUAAUGAAUAUCAGUAAUAAAAAUUUUAUUUCGACAUCAUCAUGUAAUAAUGAAUUCAUUUAAUAUUGAUCAAUUAUUACCAGUUAAAAGUGAGAAUGAAUUAAAGGCCUUAGAAGAUAAUCUCCAAAUUGAUGAUUUUAAAACAUCAUUGAUUACUAAAUUGUCUGUUUUAAUUGAUAACAAUAACUUAGGCAACAGUAUUCGAAGAAUUGUUGGAUGUAUGUUUGACGAUAACAUUUUGUCAUAUUAUUCAUUAUUUGGGUUCAGACAAAAAUUUUCAUUUUUAAGUGUUUCGAGUUAUUGUGUGAUAAUAGAUUCAAUCAGGAAAUGGGUUACAUACAACAGUUUACUGGAUAAAGACAUAGAUAAUUGUUUGAGUACUUAGCUGUCUCAUGCACUUUUUAGAAUAAAAAAAAAAAGAAGCAAAAAAUCUCAAAUAAUUAUAUUUUUAUUAAUGGUCACGCUCACAAGCUGUUAGCCAUAAUCAGUGUUGGUUAUCACUAUUAUUUUGUUAUUAUCAUAAAAUGUUAUUUAGUAUU